rnacentral:tRNA from 1 species
GAAAAAGUAUGCAAGAACUGCUAACUCUAUGCUCCCAUGCCUGACAACAUGGCUUUUUCA